rnacentral:rRNA from 1 species
AACGAACGCUGGCGGCAGGCCUAACACAUGCAAGUCGAACGCUCCAGCAAUGGAGAGUGGCAGACGGGUGAGUAACGCGUGGGAACCUUCCCAGUGGUACGGAAUAGCCCAGGGAAACUUGGGAUAAUACCGUAUACGCCCCUAGGGGGAAAGAUUUAUCGCCAUUGGAUGGGCCCGCGUCGGAUUAGCUUGUUGGUGAGGUAAAAGCUCACCAAGGCGACGAUCCGUAGCUGGUCUGAGAGGAUGAUCAGCCACACUGGGACUGAGACACGGCCCAGACUCCUACGGGAGGCAGCAGUGGGGAAUAUUGGACAAUGGGCGCAAGCCUGAUCCAGCCAUGCCGCGUGAGUGACGAAGGCCCUAGGGUUGUAAAGCUCUUUUGGCGGGGACGAUAAUGACGGUACCCGCAGAAUAAGCUCCGGCUAACUUCGUG